UUAUGAAUGUCGUAAUCACCUGUGGGGCCGAGAGUGAAGUGACCGCCCCACCUAGUUACUUGCAGCAAAUAACAGGUAGCCCUGAAGGUCAGACACCCCCCACAGUACAACAGCAGGCUGGACCAGUGAACACAACAGCUGAGAUUGAAUGCCAAGGUGAUCAUGCUCUUGCCUUAGACCAGGCCCAGCAAGAACAGGACGAGGUAGGCGGAGGAGCAGACGAACAUGGUUACCGACACAAACAUCACCCAGCCCUGCAGG